CCCCCACAAGGAACAGGAUCAUCCCUGUAAAAUCUUCAGGAACAGAACCCAGUGCCUCACCUGUGUCUUGCCACUAUGAGCAUUGAAUUCAGCCACUGUUUCCUUGCUGCUCACUUUGAUGGUCCCAUUUACGGUGGGCUGUCCCUGCUCACAUUACACAGGUUUUUUCCAACCUCUAGUCCUGAAUCCAACUUGGCAUGUACUACAAGCUCUUCAAACAAGAGAUCUCUCCCCAGACAUGCUCCUCCCCUGUGGACCCUUAGCAAUUGGUAGGUGUCACCAUCUACCCAGUUGGGCAAAACAUGCUUCCGUGAGUUAUUCUCUUCUGACCACUAAAUGUCAUCUUUUCGGAAGACUCCUGGUCUGGACUGUUCUUUCUUUCAUUAAAGCAACAGUCUGCAUAUAGUUUUGGACUCAGUACUGAUGAGUUCUGAAAAUUUUAACCCAUAUUUACAAGGCUAUCUGUGCCCAACAAAGAGAAGACGCGAUGUGAGAGAACAAGAAUGGAAGUAAACCUCCUUCUCGGAGACACAUUGAUCUGUGUGUAGGUGUCCAGUGCUGAUAAUCGAGCCAGUGCUUUUGCUCCUGAGAUGUCUCUGAGCAAGGUAUUAGGAGAAUGGCACCCCUGUCAUUCACAAAUGGCCACCUCCCUGAGUCCUUUUCUUUGGGAGAGAGAAACUGGAAGGUUCAAGGCUCAUUAUUCCAAAGGAUUUCAGAGGGAGCAAUCUUCCAUCAAAUGGGAAAUGUGGGGCUUUUGCUGUAUUUAGAAAAGAGUGAAUAUGAGCCUUUCAUCCAU
rnacentral:lncRNA from 1 species